GUGUUCACUACUGCACUGCAUAUACUAAAAUUGGAAUGAUAAAGAAGAUUAGCAUGGCCCCAAGAUAAAGAUAACAUGCAAAUUUGUGAAACAUUCUAUACUUUU